rnacentral:rRNA from 1 species
UCGAUGGAGAGUUUGAUCCUGGCUCAGGACGAACGCUGGCGGCGUGCCUCAUACAUGCAAGUCGAACGAGGCCCAUCUGGUGGCAACACCGGAGAAGGCCGAGUGGCGAACGGGUGCGUAACACGUGAGCAACCUGCCCCGGAGAUCGGGAUAACACCGGGAAACCGGUGCUAAUACCGAAUGCCCUCAACGGAUCGCAUGGUCCGAUGAGGAAAUGGGUUUCCGCUCCGGGAGGGGCUCGCGGCCCAUCAGCUUGUUGGUGGGGUAACGGCCUACCAAGGCAACGACGGGUAGCUGGUCUGAGAGGACGAUCAGCCACACUGGGACUGAGACACGGCCCAGACUCCUACGGGAGGCAGCAG